rnacentral:tRNA from 1 species
GCCGUUGUAGCUCAGCUGGUAGAGCGGCGCUUUCGUAAAGCGUAGGUCACCGGUUCAAGACCGGUCAACGGCUCCA